GUUGGUGUUGAUUGGCUUGAGGGUCCACCUGUUCCCAUCCCGAACACAGAAGUUAAGCUCAAGUUCGUCGACGAUAGUAUGCGGGCGACUGC
rnacentral:rRNA from 1 species